AUGUUGAAUCUGACGAGGAACCAGCGAAGAGGGCGGUGACUAAACCAAUCAGAUUCCGUGUAGAGCCACCUGAUGAUGAUGGAAGUGAAGCACUCCAGAAAAAGACAAAUGAACCCAGACAAGCCCAGCGUACAGUGCCACAGCUUCCACCAGCCCCUAGUGUAACUUCAAGAGCCAGUGUCUUUGAAAAGACCCUACAACAAGUUGCAGAUGCAGAGGACUUGAGGCCAUGUGCCACCUCAAGCCAGAGCGACAGUAAGUGUCUGGUUGUAGUUUUAGGGUAAACAAUUAGUU